UACAUACUAGCUCAAUUGGUAGAGCAUUACUCUGAUAAAGUAAGUGUAACAGGUUCGAUCCCUGUGUAUG
rnacentral:tRNA from 1 species